UACGAAGGGGGCUAGCGUUGCUCGGAAUUACUGGGCGUAAAGCGCACGUAGGCGGAUUGUUAAGUCGGGGGUGAAAUCCUGGAGCUCAACUCCAGAACUGCCUUCGAUACUGGCGAUCUCGAGUUCGGGAGAGGUGAGUGGAAUUCCUGGUGUAGCGGUGAAAUGCGCAGAUAUCAGGAAGAACACCCGUGGCGAAGGCGGCUCUCUGGGACGGUACUGACGCUGAGACGCGAAAGCGUGGGGAGCGAACAGG
rnacentral:rRNA from 1 species